CUACUACUCCCUCCGUCCGAAAAUACUUGUCGUUGAAAUGGAUGUAUCUAGAUGUAUUUUAGUUCUAGACACAUCCAUUUUGAUGACAAGUAAUUCCGGACGGAGGGAGUAUUAU
rnacentral:pre_miRNA from 1 species